CAGUCGCCGCGGGAACACGUAGGUGGCAAGCGUUGUCCGGAAUUAUUGGGCGUAAAGGGCCCGCAGGCGGUUUCUUAAGUCUGAUGUGAAAGCCCCCGGCUCAACCGGGGAGGGUCAUUGGAAACUGGGAAACUUGAGUGCAGAAGAGGAGAGUGGAAUUCCACGUGUAGCGGUGAAAUGCGUAGAGAUGUGGAGGAACACCAGUGGCGAAGGCGACUCUCUGGUCUGUAACUGACGCUGAGGAGCGAAAGCGUGGGGAGCGAACAGGAUUAGAUACCCCGGUAGUCCCUGUCUCUUAUAC
rnacentral:rRNA from 1 species